GAUGAACGCUGGCGGCGUGCCUAACACAUGCAAGUCGAGCGGACGGACGUGAAGCUUGCUUCUCAGGUGUUAGCGGCGGACAGGAGCGUAACCCGUGGAGAAGCUCCCUAUAAGAAUGGGAUAACUUCGAGAAACCGGACCUAAUACCGGAUAAUAUUAUCAACCGGAGGGGUCAAAAGUGACAGACGGGCUUGCUGUUACUGAUAGAGGGUACCGCGCUGCUUUAGCUAGUUGGUAAGGUAACGGCUUACCAAGGCAACGAUGCAUAGCCGACCUGAGAGGGUGAUCGGCCACACUGGAACUGAGACACGGUCCAGACUCCUACGGGAAGCAGCAGUAGGGAAUCUUCCGCAAUGGGCGAAAGCCUGACGGAGCAACGCCGCGUGAGUGAUGAAGGUCUUCGGAUCGUAAAACUCUGUUAUUAGGGAAGAACAUAUGUGUAAGUAACUGUGCACAUCUUGACGGUACCUAAUCAGAAAGCCACGGCUAACUACGUA
rnacentral:rRNA from 1 species